rnacentral:rRNA from 1 species
ACCUUAAAGCUAGUCUAAACACCUAAAAAACACAACAAUAUUUUAAACCAAUUACCUUUUAAAACCCAACUUAAAACAUUUUUAUCUUCCUAGUAUAGGCGAUAGAACGGAAA